rnacentral:rRNA from 1 species
AUUAUUUUAAAUGUAAAUUUAUUAAUACUAAAUUAGUAAUAGUUAAGUUCUUUAAAGUUAAAGAUUUUGGCGGUAUUUUAGUCUAUUCAGAGGAACCUGUUCUGUAAUUGAUGUUCCACGAUUAAUUGUAUUUUUUUUAAAAGUUUGUAUAUCAUCGUUUUUAAUAAUUUUAUAAGAAUUUUUAAUUUUUAAGAUUUUUUAUUAAAAAGUAAAUCAGAUCAAGGUGCAGUUUAUGGAAAAAUAGAAAUGGGUUACAAUAAAUUUAUUUAUAUGGAUUAAUAUAUGAAAAAUUAUUAUGAAGGUGGAUUUGAAAGUAAUAAAAUUUAAUUAAAUUUUAUGAUUUUAGCUCUAAAAUAUGU